rnacentral:rRNA from 1 species
AGAGUUUGAUCAUGGCUCAGGAUGAACGCUGGCGGCGUGCUUAACACAUGCAAGUCGAACGAUGACCUCCAGCUUGCUGGGGUGAUUAGUGGCGAACGGGUGAGUAACACGUGAGUAACCUGCCCUUAACUCUGGGAUAAGCCUGGGAAACUGGGUCUAAUACCGGAUAUGACUCCUCAUCGCAUGGUGGGGGGUGGAAAGCUUUUUGUGGUUUUGGAUGGACUCGCGGCCUAUCAGCUUGUUGGUGAGGUAAUGGCUCACCAAGGCGACGACGGGUAGCCGGCCUGAGAGGGUGACCGGCCACACUGGGACUGAGACACGGCCCAGACUCCUACGGGAGGCAGCAGUGGGGAAUAUUGCACAAUGGGCGAAAGCCUGAUGCAGCGACGCCGCGUGAGGGAUGACGGCCUUCGGGUUGUAAACCUCUUUCAGUAGGGAAGAAGCGAAAGUGACGGUACCUGCAGAAGAAGCGCCGGCUAACUACGUGCCAGCAGCCGCGGUAAUAC